UAAAUGAAAGCCAAAGAGAGGCGCCUAUUUGUUAAGUAGGAGAAUGUAAAGUAAUUACUCAUUUAG
rnacentral:tRNA from 1 species